rnacentral:rRNA from 1 species
GAUGAACGCUGGCGGCGUGCCUAAUACAUGCAAGUCGAGCGAACGGACGAGAAGCUUGCUUCUCUGAUGUUAGCGGCGGACGGGUGAGUAACACGUGGAUAACCUACCUUUAAGACUGGGAUAACUUCGGGAAACCGGAGCUAAUACCGGAUGAUAUUUUGAACCGCAUGGUUCAAAAGUGAACGACGGUCUUGCUGUCACUUAUAGAUGGAUCCGCGCUGCAUUAGCUAGUUGGUACGGUAACGGCUUACCAAGGCAACGAUGCAUAGCCGACCUGAGAGGGUGAUCGGCCACACUGGAACUGAGACACGGUCCAGACUCCUACGGGAGGCAGCAGUAGGGAAUCUUGCGCAAUGGGCGAAAGCCUGAUGGAGCAACGCCGCGUGAGUGAUGAAGGUCUUCGGAUCGUAAAGCUCUGUUAGUAGGGAAGAACAUAUGUGUAAGUAUCUGUGCACAUCUUGACGGUACCUAAACAGAAAGCAACGGCUAACUACGUG